rnacentral:lncRNA from 1 species
CCAAGAAGCAUGGCUGCUCCAGCAUUAGCCAUGUGUCAUGGUGGUCCUUGGUAUCUUGCCUUGAAGAUGAGCUACAGUGACAGGUCCUUAAUUGAUGUGCAGUUUCCACUUGCUUUUUUAUGUUACUAUUUUGGGCCAAUUAUAUUUUUUAAAAAAGGCACUUCUUUUUUCUUUUACUUGGUUCAUCAAAAACAGGAAGUCAAAGUGUAUAUAUCCACACGAAACAGACACAGAGCCCAAAGAAGACGGGGAGCAGAUGUGAAAUGCUCUGAACUGGUUACAGGUGAGCCGGGGAGGAGGAGCUCUGUUUUGUUGGCUGACUGCCUGCUGUUCCAGUAACUGUGUUAGAGGCGUGGCUGCAACAGCCUAGGACCAAGACUUGAAGAUUGGGUUCUGGCCUUGACCUAUGGUGAGGGUCACAAUAGACUUUAUCAUUCAAACCAGGACACUUUUGAGAACCCAAGGAGGCCCUUUAGUAGUUCCUAUGGGACAACAUGUGGAAACGGGACUGUCUUGGGCAAAGUGGUACAUACAGUCCCCCCACGUCGAUCUUGGGUAAGUCACUGAAGCUCUGUGAGCUUCAGUUUCAUCAGUUCUUAAAACAACAAAAAAUACCUGUCCUAUCUCACAGGGUGUGAGGCUCAAAUGAGAUAAUAAAUUUGGAAAGUGUUGUGAAAAUAAGGAAUCACUGUGAAUGUACAGGUUAUUUCCAUACGUCCACAGAGGAGCCCAAAUGUGUGCUGAAUGGGUGAAGGUGGUCAAAAGGUACAAACUUCCAGUUAUAAGAUAAGUCAGUCCCGGGAUGUAAUGUACAGUGUGGUGGCUAUAUUAACAAUACCGUAUUGUAUUUUUGAAGGUUGCUAAGAGAGUAGAUCUUAAAAGUUCUCAUCAGCAAGAAAAAAGAAUUUAUAACUAUGUGAAGUGAUGGAUGUUAACCAAACUUAUUGUGCCAAGCAUUUCACAAUAUAUGCAUGCGUUAAAUCAUUUUGCUGUGCACUAAAAUGAAUACUGUUAUAUGUCAAUUAUAGCAAUAAAACUGGAAAAAAUAAAAAACAUGAGAGAG